rnacentral:lncRNA from 1 species
AUGGGGGCUGCCUCCUGCCCUCCCCCCUCCCUGUAUUUGUCUCUCUUCACCUUAUUUUCCCCCUCCCCCCUUCCAGCCCCAGCUCUCUUCCUCACUUUCAUUUUCCUUUCCCAGCUGGGACAGCCAAUCUUGUACUGCCCUUCCCCUCACCCCACACUGUGUCACCGUGUUGACACACACAAACACAAGGACUUUUUGUGGGCGGCGUUGGACACAGGGAUGGCUUCUCGCAGCGUGGAGAUCCAACUCACCAACAGCACAAGGGAUGUGACCCUGCAUUCCCCCAGGACCUACUGCUUCAGUGGCUACAGCUCCGAGCCCCCAAGCCCCAUCAUCCCACCAGGAGCCACAGGAUGCUGUGCCUUCGCCAACUCCCCACAACAUUUUAGGGGCAGUGUGGGCAUCCUGGUGUACGAGGCAGAAACCUUCACCUUGGCCAUCCUCUUCUCCAACCCUUACAACUACAGCUUUUACUACAUGGAGUUUGCCGUGGAGAUCUCCCCAGAAAAAGCCCACCUUGGCUUACUGGAGGAUGUCUAUCAAAGGAUGUACAGAGGUUUGCCUGCAAAUCCCAGCAACAGUGGCAUGCUCCAGAUUGUCAAGCUCCAUGCAACCCAGGAGACCACCAUGGUCUCUGCUGGUGGCAUGAAGGUCAUGGCCACCAUGUCCAAUGCUGCAAAGUCCAUCAUUAAAGUAGUUGUGGAGAACAAUGACAGCCCUCCCCCCUAUCCAGAGGCAAUACCACCCCUUCGCUUUAUACACUGUGAGAAAGAGAGAAGAUUCCAGAAGAAGGAAGGGGUGAAUGGUCCCCACUUCCUGUAGAUGCUUUCCCUCAAAAAAAAAAAAAAAAAUGCUGAAGUAGAGCAGCACUGUUGUUUUGUUUUCCUUCUUCCCUUUUCAUUCUUCCUUGUGGCUGGAAUAGGCAACGGCAGCCAAGCCAGCAAAUCAUGACAAUAAAAAAAGCAUUGCAGAUAACA